AAAGCUGUGAUCCUGCUAUAGAACCUUGGUUUUCCUGCUUCUGAAACAAAGUUAAACAGGUGGGAAUCCUGUGGAGCUUUUUUUCACUGUGAAGUUCUGAAAGUGUCUUUGCAAAGGAAGUUUUCAUCCUGGCUUAGGGCCUGAUGUUAUCAGGGGAGGAGCAGCCUCCAUUUUUCCCAGUCUCUGCAGGAAGACCUGCC